GUCUAUGGCUAUGCCACCCUGAACAAGCCCUAUCCUGUCUGAUCUCAGAAGCUAAGCAGGGUGGGGCCUGGUUAGUACUUGGAUGGGAGACAACCCAGGAAGACCAGGUGCUAUAAGCA
rnacentral:rRNA from 1 species